rnacentral:tRNA from 1 species
GUGGGCGUGGUGUCAACGGACAGCACGUCGGUUCCCCACACCGAAGGCGAGGGUUCAACUCCCUUCGCCCACU